rnacentral:rRNA from 1 species
AUUGAACGCUGGCGGCAUGCUUUACACAUGCGAGUCGAACGGUAACAGGCCGCCAGGUGCUGACGAGUGGCGAACGGGUGAGUAAUGCAUCGGAACGUGCCCAGUCGUGGGGGAUAACUACUCGAAAGAGUAGCUAAUACCGCAUACGAUCUAUGGAUGAAAGCGGGGGACCGUAAGGCCUCGCGCGAUUGGAGCGGCCGAUGUCAGAUUAGGUAGUUGGUGGGGUAAAGGCUCACCAAGCCAACGAUCUGUAGCUGGUCUGAGAGGACAACCAGCCACACUGGGACUGAGACACGGCCCAGACUCCUACGGGAGGCAGCAGUGGGGAAUUUUGGACAAUGGGCGCAAGCCUGAUCCAGCAAUGCCGCGUGCAGGAAGAAGGCCUUCGGGUUGUAAACUGCUUUUGUACGGAACGAAACGGCUCUGGUUAAUACCCGGGGCUAAUGACGGUACCGUAAGAAUAAGCACCGGCUAACUACGUG